CUUUAUUUUUAUUUUUGAUGCGUGUAUGUACCAGCAGGUGCGCUGAGCAUUCAGCCUUCAUACCAUGAUGAUGAAUGGUGGGAGAAUGCAAAGAAUAACUAUUAUAAACAAACUCUCCGGCCCAGUGUGAUAAUGCUUGUGGAGCAGCCAUACCUACAGUAGGACUGGUGUCACUCACAGGUUGAUCCUGGAGCUCUACAUUGCGGUAUAAUCGAAGUCCCUAAAGGCUUCCGCAAUCUCCUUUUCCAUGGCCAAGGAACCCUCGGAGGGAGGAGUUAGAACUAGAUGUUGAUCUCCAUCCUCUGAAAGUCUAACAUCCUCAGCAUCUCGUAUAUUACAAUGCCCAGAGACCACCAGUCGACAGAUCUUGAGUAUGGCUCCCUGGCGAGGACUUCUGGUGCCAUGUAGCCAAAAGAUCCUUUCAGGCUACUUGUUCGGCCUUCGUAGCCAAUUCCUGAAACAAACAGUUAUUGUAGCUCUUUAAGCAGCCGCCAGCAACGUACUCCAUCAGAAAGAAUAGAUGGUAUUCUGACUGGAAGGUGGCGUGGAUAUCCACAAUGAAAGGGUGGUCAGCAACGGCGAAAGCAACCCGUUUCUCUAGCAAGAUCCUGAAUAUUAAAAGCAUUCAUUGUCAAAACAAGGGACAUGGGUAAGUAACAAAGCCAACCAUGCUAAAAUGAUAAUUUCCAUAAACUGACCUUUCAAUGCCCCUUGAGGAGGUGAUGCUCUCCUUUUUCAAGAUUUUCAGGGCAUAGGAUCUUUUGGUUGCCGCGUGUUCAACAAGGAGAACCUGGAAUAAGAGAGAAUCUCAGGAAAUGCAGGAAGAUACAUGCAGAACAUCCAUACCCCUUUCAGAGAGCUGCAAGAAUCGAUCCAUACUUGCCCCAAAAUUGCAAGGUUGCAACUUACUGUGGGUCCUUUGUCACUGCCAGUGGACAUCCUUCUGCUGCAUCAGGUGGAGUUGGGCUGAUGUUUUCUUCAUCCACAGAUAUCUCACUAUAAGGAAAAGCACCUCGUCUACCUCUGGCACUGGUUCUUCAGUGGAUUCGUCAUGUUGAUGCUGCAAACAAGGGACAAUUGUGCAAUGAAUGAAUAUGGCAUCACAUGGAUAUGAUAAAAGCAAUGUUUAUGUUCUGGCCAAGAAAUGAAUGGCAUCAGUAUAAAAUACUCACUUGGAAAGAAUCACUGGCAGGUUCUGAAACAACCUGAACCUCAGAUGCGCUGACCUCUUCUGCUUGGAGGUUUGCACCAGUGUCACUAGCAGUCUCCACUGCUGCAUCUAAAGAGACAGUAAAUAAACAUAGUGAAUGAAUUUUCAAAUAUAAAAACUUUCUUGAACCUAAGGCUUAAGGAUGUUUCUUGAUUUGGUAAGAUGCUAUUAGUAGUCAGUGGUUUGAAAAGUACAUGCAAAAGCCAUACAAUUCAUCUAUAGUUCUGUGGGGCUUAGUUUAAUGUCCAUGAAGGGGUAGUGGAUGGGAUGUUAGGAUGACACACAUUACCCCAUAUAAUGCCAAUAGAAAAGAGGCUAGAGCCUGUUGUGACUCACCUGGAACAUGCUCUGCUUCCCUCCGAGCUAUCUCCUCAUUGAGCUUGAGGAGAGAGGAGUAAAGGGCUUUCAGCCUAUUCUCACUGCUCUUCCUCAGCUCCUUCAUCAGGGCUCUGGUCUUUCUGUCCUUGGUGGCAUGGUUCAGAUUUUCGGCCCCUGCUGCUAUCUUCAUCUCCUUCUGGAUGACUCUCACCAGCUCCUGCUUCAUUUCUGAAAGAGAGACACCUACCUGGGGCUCACAAGCAUCAAGAGACUGUUUGAUGUCGACAGUCUAUAGAGAAUGGGAAACAAUGGUUAAGUGCUUGCAAAUGAUAUUGAAUAUUGAACAAUGAUGUCACCCAUUCCAAUUAGAAGAAAAGAGUUUCCUCCUAAUGGUUUGGAAGGGUUUUUUUACAGUCGAAUUCUCUCCCUGAAUCAGUGGUACAGGCUGAUACAUUAGAUAGCUUUAAAGGAGAAGGAAAGUUAAAAAAAAAUAACCUCCCUCUUUCUCUUUGCCAUUAUCCCCCCUCCUGAAA